GAAUGCGCGAUUUGUUUCCCGCUUGCCUACACUGCUGCCGCGGGUAGAUGAUUCCGGCCGGUGGUGCUGCGACCAUCACUGACUUGAUAAGUGUGUUCGUGCCUUCAUUCCUGCCGCGGGUAGCUGAUCCUGGUCGCUGAUGCUGAUUGCUGACUGGGAUAUGGCUCAUCAUUUGGAUGAAAUUGAAUACAGAAGACUACUUCGAACUGAAGACACCUUCAAGAAACAAACACAUUUUAGAGGCAUUCGGUUAAAGGACUAUUUUUAGCAGUGAUUAAUAAAAGUAUGAAAUUAGGCUUGA